rnacentral:rRNA from 1 species
AUUGAACGCUGGCGGCAGGCCUAACACAUGCAAGUCGAACGAGUGGCGGACGGGUGAGUAAUGUCUGGGAAAGUGCCCGAUGGAGGGGGAUAACCACGGGAAACGGUAGCUAAUACCGCAUACCAUCGGAUGUGCACAGAGGGGAUGAGCUAGUAGGUGGUGUAACGGCUCACCUAGGCGACGAUCCCUAGCUGGUCUGAGAGGAUGACCAGCCACACUGGAACUGAGACACGGUCCAGACUCCUACGGGAGGCAGAAGUGGGGAAUAUUGCACAAUGGGCGCAAGCCUGAUGCAGCCAUGCCGCGUGUAUGAAGAAGGCCUUCGGGUUGUAAAGUACUUUCAGCGGGGAGGCGUUACCCGCAGAAGAAGCACCGGCUAACUCCGUGCCAGCAGCCGCGGUAAUUC